UAGAGGAAGUAAAAGUCGUAACAAGGUUUCCGUAGGUGAACCUGCGGAAGGAUCAUUACUGAAAGACUUGRUAGAGUUGAGCUGACUUCUUUGAAGUAUGUGCUYGCUCUAUCAAACCUUCUCUUCUCCUCUUGUGCACUUCUGUAGGCUAUGAAAACUAUCAGUUAAGAGUUUUACUCUGACUGCUUGAGAACUUGUCAUUUUCUAUGGCAUGUUCUUGGCUUCGUAGUCUAUGUCUUACAAACUAUAUCAAAGUCUUAGAAUGUAUCUUGUUGGUCUUUUGACCGAUAAAAUGUCUAUACAACUUUCAGCAACGGAUCUCUUGGCUCUCGCAUCGAUGAAGAACGCAGCGAAAUGCGAUAAGUAAUGUGAAUUGCAGAAUUCAGUGAAUCAUCGAAUCUUUGAACGCACCUUGCGCCCUUUGGUAUUCCGAAGGGCACACCUGUUUGAGUGUCAUUAAAUUCUCAAACCUUGAAUSUUAGUCURACUGACUUUCAAGGGCUUGGAUGUGGGAGUUGCUGGACUUYCAAUAGUUCAGCUCUUCUUAAAUGUAUUAGCGGAUCUACUUUAGUCCUCUUUCAUAGGUGUGAUAAUUAUCUACGCCUUUGAAAUGACURYCUUUUAUGUAGCUGCUCUCUAACCGUCUUUCAAGACAAUUUCUUUGACUUGACCUCAAAUCAGGUGGGACUACCCGCUGAACUUAA
rnacentral:misc_RNA from 1 species